UCCAUACGUUUAAUGACCUCUUAAGUUUUUUAAAUAUAUAGUACACUCUCCACUGCUUAUGCUUGGGCUGCUACGAAUUCAAUAUGUUCCGGUUCAGAUGAUACAAGAUGUUCAAGGAAUAUUUAAAUACUUUGUUUUAAAUUGUUGUGUUGUUUGCCUUGAUCAAUUAGUGAUCAAAACAAUGUUCUUAUCAUUCGACUUCUCGGUUUGGGUUU